GACGAACGCUGGCGGCGUGCCUAAUACAUGCAAGUAGAACGCUGAAGAGAGGAGCUUGCUCUUCUUGGAUGAGUUGCGAACGGGUGAGUAACGCGUAGGUAACCUGCCUGGUAGCGGGGGAUAACUAUUGGAAACGAUAGCUAAUACCGCAUGAUAUUAAUUGUCGCAUGAUAAUUAAUUGAAAGAUGCAAUUGCAUCACUACCAGAUGGACCUGCGUUGUAUUAGCUAGUUGGUGAGGUAACGGCUCACCAAGGCGACGAUACAUAGCCGACCUGAGAGGGUGAUCGGCCACACUGGGACUGAGACACGGCCCAGACUCCUACGGGAGGCAGCAGUAGGGAAUCUUCGGCAAUGGGGGGAACCCUGACCGAGCAACGCCGCGUGAGUGAAGAAGGUUUUCGGAUCGUAAAGCUCUGUUGUAAGAGAAGAACGGGUGUGAGAGUGGAAAGUUCACACUGUGACGGUAUCUUACCAGAAAGGGACGGCUAACUACGUGCCAGCAGCCGCGGUAAUACGUAGGUCCCGAGCGUUGUCCGGAUUUAUUGGGCGUAAAGCGAGCGCAGGCGGUUAGAUAAGUCUGAAGUAAAGGCUGUGGCUUAACCAUAGUAUGCUUUGGAAAACUGUUUAACUUGAGUGCAGAAGGGGAGAGUGGAAUUCCAUGUGUAGCGGUGAAAUGCGUAGAUAUAUGGAGGAACACCGGUGGGCGAAAGCGGCUCUCUGGUCUGUAACUGACGCUGAGGCUCGAAAGCGUGGGGAGCAAACGGGAUUAGAUACCCUGGUAGUCCACGCCGUAAACGAUGAGUGCUAGGUGUUAGGCCCUUUCCGGGGCUUAGUGCCGCAGCUAACGCAUUAAGCACUCCGCCUGGGGAGUACGACCGCAAGGUUGAAACUCAAAGGAAUUGACGGGGGCCCGCACAAGCGGUGGAGCAUGUGGUUUAAUUCGAAGCAACGCGAAGAACCUUACCAGGUCUUGACAUCCCUCUGACCGCUCUAGAGAUAGAGUUUUCCUUCGGGACAGAGGUGACAGGUGGUGCAUGGUUGUCGUCAGCUCGUGUCGUGAGAUGUUGGGUUAAGUCCCGCAACGAGCGCAACCCCUAUUGUUAGUUGCCAUCAUUGAGUUGGGCACUCUAGCGAGACUGCCGGUAAUAAACCGGAGGAAGGUGGGGAUGACGUCAAAUCAUCAUGCCCCUUAUGACCUGGGCUACACACGUGCUACAAUGGCUGGUACAACGAGUCGCAAGCCGGUGACGGCAAGCUAAUCUCUGAAAGCCAGUCUCAGUUCGGAUUGUAGGCUGCAACUCGCCUACAUGAAGUCGGAAUCGCUAGUAAUCGCGGAUCAGCACGCCGCGGUGAAUACGUUCCCGGGCCU
rnacentral:rRNA from 1 species